rnacentral:lncRNA from 1 species
CGUAGUAAAGAAGCAGCAUGACUUAAUUAGACAGUGUAGAAAUCUCUCACAUGUGUCUUUUAUUUGUUAGUAUUUUUGUGUAUGUUUAUUUUAUUAUUUAUUAAAAAGUGUUCUGGGUUCAUUACAGUCUCCUCAGGCUACAACAUGCUGUUAGUUACCGCAGAAAAUCAUUCAGACUUGUUCCUCAUUUUGGUAAAAUUAUCCCAAAUUGUGUGUUCCGUAAUAAACUUACAGUAAAAAUGGAAAGUACAGCCACGAGACUUUCAAAACACAAUUAGAUGACAUAAUCUAACUCCUGGUAAGCAUUAAAGCUCUCUCAUCUUGUCAGUUUAGAAAAGUAGUCAGCUAAAAUAAAACAUUAAUAAAACAAGCUGAUAAUAAUUUGGGUAAUAUGCAUGCACUAAAAUAUCUGAACAGAAACUCUGUGUUAUCUUUUGACUAGGCUGCUGGUAGAGUUCAUCUGCUGAUAUGAUAAUCUCACACUGGUUAUCACAUCUUGUGUUUUGUGUGUUUUCAGUAGAGUUGUCUCCAGCAGCGCUGCAGUGCUCCUGUGGAUCUGGAGAGGAGCCUCAGAAGAAGAAAGCCCCGCCUCCACUCAGACCAGUCCCCGCCCAGCCCACACCGAGGCCACGCCCCACUCCCUCAGCCACGCCCAGAGCACAGAAACCCCACGUCGCCCCCUAAGCCUGUGCACCUGCUUGGUCCUGUCCCUCCAGCCGCCCCGCCGACCCCUGCCCACGUCCCCCCUCCGAGAGCCAGAGUCCCGUCUGCAGGGCCCAGGUAAGAUCUGAGCAUCGCCUCCAUCCGUACAUACUGUGUGAGCUGAGACUCGAUUAGAGAUGUAUGAUUCUAACUGUUAAUAGUACUUAACCGUGUUAGUUAACAUUAAAAAUAACAUUCUAAAAGCAUUCAUAAUUUCAACAUUUACUAAUACAUUACUGAAAUCAAAAAUUGUACCUUUUAAUGAUAUUUAAUGAACCCGUUCCAAAAUGAACUAAUAGAGAACAUUGUGAGUCAUUGUUAGUUGACGUUAGUUAAUGCAUUCAGUACUGUUAACUAAUGGGACAUGGAUUGUUCUUUAUCUGUAAGACCCUGGGUUUAUAUCGUGGUGCAGUUGCAAUAAACAAAACCACUGUGUCUCAAGAGCUAGUUUGACUAACUAUGAGUUUUAAACUUUAACAUUAAAAAGUUAUGACUUAUCUUGGAAAAAAAAAAUAGAUGGCUAAAUAAAGUUUAUGCAAUUGGUAUUAAUGCAUUUUCGUUGAUCUGUUCACAAGGAAGAUGUCAAAUACAGGUUUAAAUGGGUCUAAAAUGUUUUGAGCUUGUCCAUUAU